rnacentral:lncRNA from 1 species
AUUCAGUUUAGGGGUAGCUUAAAGUCUACUUAAAAAACCCACUUAGGCCUUGCUUGUCCUUUCCAGGGUCCCUUUCCAAGUUCAUCUUGUACCAGCUGCUCUUUGCAACCUUCCAGCCAACUUCAGCCAGGCUCACUUUCUUUGUGUUCUCAGACUCAUAGACCUUUCUGCCCCUGGACCUCUGGCUACGGUACACCCCUCCUUGAAGGCCCAGCUCCAGCUCCUGUGUGGCUGGCUCAUGCUCCUUUAGGGGGUUUUGCCCAGAUAUCCUUCCUCAAGGAGAUUGCCUUGUCUUUAUUAGUCUCUGCCCAUCUCUCAUCUCUUAGCACCACUGACAAUUAUCUGCUUCCAACUGAAUGUCAGAUGCAUAGUACAGUGUCUGGCUUACAGUGGUUCCUCAAUACACAUUUGAGGAAAGAAUGAAAUAAUGUGCAGUUUUCUGCCAGAGCUAUCUAGGAACACAUUGUGAUCAUCUGGAGCAUACUUUCCACAAAGCCCUGGUAUUCCCUCAUCCCCACCUCAGUGCCAUGAUCAUUCCUUCCUCUAGUGAAGGACUCUUCCCCUCUUAUGAAGGGAGGAAAAUUGAGGAUAUUCUGCUUUUUGUAUCUUCCUUGGCUCUCCAGUCCUGCUGUAUAUUUCAUGUGCAAUAUUUUAGACUUGCAGUUAGGGCACCUGGCUUCAAAAGAAACCUCAAUGGUAGUCUGGCUAAAUUAACCUUCUUUAAUACCUUUAGGUCCGGGUCAGUAGGGAUCAUACAAUCAGCUCAGGCUCCUUUACAUUGUUAUCAAGUGUCAAAGAGACUAGGAUGUAUGGAAAUGCCAUUUAUUUUGGGCAAUUCACUUAGUAUCUAAGAUAAUGGACCCAUAAUCUUCAUUUGUAACAUAAACACACAACUCUCCUAUUGAUGUUGAGAGCUUGGGCAUGGAAGUCCAUGGUGGAGCAUGCAAACAGGAAAAUACCCACCUGUCAUCUGAAAGGAGCACCUGAGCCACAGGGAAUAAAAGAGGUCUUGUGGUGAUUUGCAUACUGAUUUGCAUAUUGCUCAAAAGUCAUUUGAGGCAGGUCGGCACACAUCAUAGUAUAUAAUGCUCUUGGCUCUUCCUGCCACCAUCCUUGCCCUCUGCACCUGCUGGAGCCCAGCCAGGGAAGGUGCUGGGUCAGGCUGGCCCUGGGACCCCUUACCAUCUCCUCACCAUCUCCUCCUCCUAGAGUCUCGCCCUGCAGAGAGCCUGGACUGCCAUGUUGCCUGAUGGAUGGCAGGCCUUCAGCGUGACUGAGCUUUCACACUUGAAACCAUUAAAGGCCCACAGCUUUGGAACCAGCUGAACCCCUGAAACCACGAUCCAAAAUAAAUCUUCC